UUCAUCUGUGUCUUCCCACAGACCUGAGUGAACCCACACCUGUUCAACAGUUGCCUCCGUCUGACUCCUGCUCAGAGCUGGGAAGGGCUCCUGCUGGCUGGGAAGGUUGUGGAGAGGGGAGAGUACCUAGCAUGUGGAGAAAGUGAACUGGGAGCCCACACUGCCCUUCAGGACUCUGCAGCGCAAUGAGCUGGACACCAAGGAACAUGUGUUGGAAUGGGUUAUACACCCAUGGGUAUUUAAUAAUAGAUUGCUACAGCAUCUUUCUGUAAAGACAGAACUCUCUGAGUAUGGAUGGAACAAGCCAUAUGCCAGGGCCUACGAACACUGGGCUGAAGGUGUCUUCUUCCUGUUGGGACCCAGCCCUGUUCCCAUGGUAACUCUCAGGGACACCCUUGCUUUUCAGGCAGGGGUGGGGUAUGGAUUCAGGAGGGCCACCUGUUGAUGAUGACCUGGGUGGAAGAGUCAGUCAGUCUCCUCUGCGUCCUCCUGUCCUAGCAUGUGGGAAGGGCCAGAGUCAAUACCAAUGUCCUAUUAAAAAAGGAAGUUCCGGGAGGGAGUGGGGGCAAUACCUGGCUUAGACCCAAGGACCCCAGGGGUGCUGGAUCGGCCUUGUGGUUGUGUAGUUUAGCACUUCAGUUUCCAGGUGGGAAAAUGAAAACCCAAAGAUGUAACAGCAAAUGACAAUGGACAGAACUGGUCAUGGGGACCAGGAGCCUGGAGGUCAGGCCCACUGCCUUGCUCUGUGGUAGGGCCAGAGCCUCUGAAAUGCCAGUCUAUUCUGGAACAUUCUGAGUUCUCCGUGCUUAAUGACCUUCUAGAAGGCAAACCCGUGAAACCUCCGUGAUGCCAAGAUUUCCCACGAUGAGCAGAGGACAGUGCAGAGGAGCCCAGGGGACAUCUAUGUCGGGUGACAGGACUCGGGGUGGGGUGGUGCCCUGGACAUCAGUCCUAUGUCUUUUUUAGGAAGACACUACUGGAGGAAACGGGAAACUGAAGGAACACACCACUCGGUGACACACUGCACGUGACUUGGAGGGCCUGACUGGGGAAGGGCUGCCUCAGAACGAACAAGGUUUAGUACCCCCCGCGACAUCUGCAACGCACCCAGUUAGUGACACCGAAGUCCAUGAGAAGAAUGGCUGUCCCAGCGAAGGCUGCCAUGGCACUGAGGAUGUUGGUCCCUAGGCUGCUCCUCACCUGUGGGAGGGACAGGCACCAAGGAGAGGCAAAGAGGAGAAAGGACCAGAGGCGCCCACUGACUGUGCCCAGCUUCCCGCACUCUCCCUCCCAUGGCCCUGGGGUUGGGGCCAUGAGCCCUGCACGUGGCUGGGUUUUCUUUUCUCACUCUUCUUUUUCUUCUCUUUCCCUGGGACCCCAGGAAGAGGCCCCGAUGCCUCCUUUUGCUUCUUCAUCCUCUUGGGAGCUGCUGGGGAGGGGACUUGAUCCUCCACGUGGCUUUCCUGGGCCAGGUUUGCAGCAGA